rnacentral:rRNA from 1 species
GUAGCACCGCUUCUAAUCGUCUUCGGACAA